rnacentral:rRNA from 1 species
AGAGUUUGAUCAUGGCUCAGAACGAACGUUGGCGGCGUGGAUUAGGCAUGCAAGUCGAACGCGAACCUGGGGGGUAACUCCCGGGGGAGAGUGGCGAAAGGGGCAGUAAGGCGUGGGUAACGUACCCUCCGGACCGGGAUAGCCGCGGGAAACUGCGGGUAAUACCGGGCGACGCAACCGUGGCGCAUGUCGUGGUUGCCAAAGUCCGCCGCCGGGGGAGCGGCUCACGUGGUAUUACCUAGUUGGCGGGGUAACGGCCCACCAAGGGGAAGAUGCCUAGCGGGUGUGAGAGCACGACCCGCGCCACUGGCACUGAGACACUGGCCAGACUCCUACGGGAGGCUGCAGUCGAGGAUCUUCGGCAAUGGGCGCAAGCCUGACCGAGCGACGCCGCGUGUGCGAUGAAGGCCUUCGGGUUGUAAAGCACUGUCGAGGGGGAGGAAAGCCGCAAGGCCUGACCUAUCCCUGGAGGAAGCACGGGCUAAGUUCGUGCCAGCAGCCGCGGUAAGACGAACCGUGCGAACGUUGUUCGGAAUCACUGGGCUUAAAGGGCGCGUAGGCGGGCGAGCAAGUCCGGGGUGAAAGCCUCCGGCUUAACCGGAGAAGGGCCUUGGAUACUGCUCGUCUUGAGGGAGGUAGGGGCUUGUGGAACUUCCGGUGGAGCGGUGAAAUGCGUUGAUAUCGGAAGGAACGCCGGUGGCGAAAGCGACAAGCUGGCCCUCUUCUGACGCUGAGGCGCGAAAGCUAGGGGAGCAAACGGGAUUAGAUACCCCGGUAGUCCUAGCCCUAAACGAUGGGUACUAGGUAGUGGGCCUGACAUGGGCUCACUGCCGAAGCAAAAGUGUUAAGUACCCCGCCUGGGGAGUAUGGUCGCAAGGCUGAAACUCAAAUGAAUUGACGG